rnacentral:rRNA from 1 species
UACGUAGGGAGCGAGCGUUGUCCGAAUUUACUGGGCGUAAAGCGCGCGUAGGCGGAUUAUUAGGUCGGUGGUGAAAUCCCGAGGCUCAACCUCGGAACUGCCGUCGAAACCGAUAGUCUGGAGGUAUGGAGAGGAAAUCGGAAUUCCGGGUGUAGCGGUGAAAUGCGUAGAUAUCCGGAGGAAUACCGAUGGCGAAGGCAGAUUUCUGGCCAUAUCCUGACGCUGAGGUGCGAAAGCUAAGGUAG